rnacentral:rRNA from 1 species
AGAGUUUGAUCCUGGCUCAGGAUGAACGCUGGCGGCGCGCCUAACACAUGCAAGUCGAACGGACGAUGAAAAGCUUGCUUUUCAAAGUUAGUGGCGGACGGGUGGGUAACGCGUGGGUAACCUGCCUCAUACAGGGGAAUAGCAGCUGGAAACGGCUGAUAAAACCGCAUAAGCGCACAGUGCCGCAUGGCACAGUGUGAAAAACUCCGGUGGUAUGAGAUGGACCCCGCGUCUGAUUAGCUGGUUGGUGGGGUAACGGCCACCAAGGCGACGGAUCAGUAGCCGGCCUGAGAGGGUGAUCGGCACAUUGGGACUGAGACACGGCCCAAAUCCUACGGGAGGCA